rnacentral:rRNA from 1 species
UGUUAAGUCAGGUGUGAAAGUUUUCAGCUUAACUGGAAAAGUGCACUUGAAACUAACUUACUUGAGUACUGGAGAGGUAAGCGGAAUUCCUAGUGUAGCGGUGAAAUGCGUAGAUAUUAGGAAGAACACCGGUGGCGAAGGCGGCUUACUGGACAGAGACUGACGCUGAGGCGCGAAAGCGUGGGGAGCGAACAGGAUUAGAUACCCUGGUAGUCCACGCCGUAAACGAUGAGUAUUAGGUGUUGCCGAGAGGCAGUGCCGCAGUUAACACAAUAAAUACUCCGCCUGGGGAGUACGGUCGCAAGACUGAAACUCAAAGGAAUUGACGGGACCCCGCACAAGUAGCGGAGCAUGUGGUUUAAUUCGAAGCAACGCGAAGAACCUUACCAGGUCUUGACAUCCUCUGGCGACGCUAGAGAUAGCGUUUUCCUUUCGGGGACAGAGAGACAGGUGGUGCAUGGUUGUCGUCAGCUCGUGUCGUGAGAUGUUGGGUUAAGUCCCGCAACGAGCGCAACCCUUGUGUUUAGUUGCCAGCGGUAAGGCCGGGCACUCUAAACAGACUGCCGUAGAUAAUACGGAGGAAGGUGGGGAUGACGUCAAAUCAUCAUGCCCCUUAUGACCUGGGCUACACACGUGCUACAAUGGGAUGUACAGAGGGUAGCGAAAUAGUGAUAUGGAGCCAAUCUCAAAAAACAUCUCUCAGUUCGGAUUGCAGGCUGCAACUCGCCUGCAUGAAGUCGGAGUUACUAGUAAUCGCAAAUCAGAAUGUUGCGGUGAAUGCGUUCCCGGGGUUUGUACACACCGCCCGUCACACCACGAAAGUCGGCAACACCCGAAGUCAGUGAGCUAACCAAACGGAAGCAGCUGCCUAAGGUGGGGUUGAUGAUUGGGGUGAAGUCGUAACAAGGUAGCCGUAUCGGAAGGUGCGGCUGGAUCACCUCCUUAAG